rnacentral:rRNA from 1 species
AUACCCGCUCCCCGAGUGGUGGGGACUAUUACUGGGCUUAAAGCGUCCGUAGCCGGCCGGGUGUGUCCUCCGUUAAAUCCACGGGCCUAACCCGUGGGCUGCGGGGGAUACUACCCGGCUUGGGGGUGGGAGAGGGCGGCGGUAUUCCUGGGGUAGGGGUAAAAUCCUCUGAUCCCGGGAGGACCACCAGUGGCGAAGGCGGCCGCCCAGAACACGCCCGACGGUGAGGGACGAAAGCUGGGGGAGCAAACGGGAUUAGAAACCCCAGUAGUCC